CACCUUCGUGUGUGUUCUAGAUCGAUCAGGAGACUCCCAUGGAGUCUCAAACCCUAAACAUGAAAGAUCAUCAAAUUGGAAGGCUAAAUGAUGCUUAAACUCAUAACCGAGCAUGGAUUAAUGAUCACCAACACGAGGGGAUCAUAAGUAUAGGAAUCACGUCGAGACGGGCGCAAGCAUGAGAUGUUAACGGGUCAAUAAGAGGCAAGGAAUCGGAUGCGAGCACGGACGCAUAAGGUUGUACGAAUCACGGAUUAACCUCACAAGGAGUAGCGAUCGAAGACCGAGUCACAAGAUAGAUUGUACGGGAAUGAUUACAUAUGU